rnacentral:lncRNA from 1 species
AUGGAGUUUGUUAAAGAGGAGAGUGAAGAGAACACGAGAGAACCAGAAACCUGGAGAAUAAAACAAGAGGAGCCAGAAACCUGGGGAAUAAAACACGAGCCAGAAACCUGGGGAAUAAAACACGAGGAGCCAGAAACCUGGGGAAUAAAACACGAGGAGCCAGAAACCCGGGGAAUAAAACACGAGCCAGAAACCUGGAGAAUAAAACAAGAGGAACCAGAAACCUGGAGAAUAAAACAAGAGGAACCAGAAACCUGGAGAAUAAAACAAGAGGAACCAGAAACCCGAAGAAUAAAACAAGAGGAACCAGAAACCUGGAGAAUAAAACAAGAGGAACCAGAAACCCGAAGAAUAAAACAAGAGGAACCAGAAACCUGGAGAAUAAAACAAGAGGAACCAGAAACACUGAUAAUAAAACAUGAGGAACCAGAAACCCGGAGAAUAAAACAAGAGGAACCAGAAACCCGGAGAAUAAAACAAGAGGAACCAGAAACCCGAAGAAUAAAACAAGAGGAACCAGAAACCCUGAGAAUAAAACAAGAGGAACCAGAAACACUGAUAAUAAAACAAGAGGAACCAGAAACACUGAUAAUAAAACAAGAGGAACCAGAAACCCGGAGAAUAAAACAAGAGGAACCAGAAACCCUGAGAAUAAAACAAGAGGAACCAGAAACACUGAUAAUAAAACAAGAGGAACCAGAAACCCUGAGAAUAGAGCACGAGGAACAAGGAGGUUAGUAUUUAUUCUUAAUUUAUCAUGAUUUAUUCUUCAUUCAUCAUUAAUGUAUGUUUGUGGUAAUGUUACAUUAGGCUUACAAUGCUUUACUUCUCUGGGAUCUGGGUGUUUUUGGGCCCUGGAGAAGUUUUGAUGUUUUUGUGUAUGUAUAUAUUAGAUAUAUAUUAAAAUUUUGCUUCGCCAAGGUAAUAACAUCUACAAUACUGUACAUAAAUAAAGGCUGAUCAAUCCCUGUUGAUUUUUCCAGAGACCGUACACCAAACGUUUUGUUUCUCUAAUUAACAUGUUUAAAUGGCAUCACUGCGAACACUUCAGAAGGAUGCAGAACUAUUCUAUGAUCUUUUAGAGCUGCUCGGAUUAAACUCACUUUUAGUUUUCCCUUUAUUUGAAAUUAAAUUAUAUAUAAUUUGUAAUUUUUAGUGGUCAUUAGUGGUCUUUUUAGUAGACAUUAUAUACAUUAUAUGUCCAUCAUGUGCGCUACAAGCUUCUAUUUGAAAAUAAUGUUCAUGUGCAGUGUGUGUGUGCAGAAAAAAAUGAUUACAACACACUAUAGAACAAAACUAAAUUAAAUUAGCCUAUGCACUUUACAUAUACAUGACAUUUAUCAUCAAUAUGGUUAACAAUAAAGAUAAAUAAUAAGGAAAAUAAUAAGAUAAACAGAACAUCUCCGCUUAUUAAAGGCUUAGUUCACCCAAAUAUUAAAAUUAAGCAAUUAAUAUCUCACUCUCAUGUCGUUCCAAACCCGUGAGACCUCCAUUCAUCUUCAGAACACAGUUUAAGAUAUUUUAGAUUUAGUCUGAGAGCUCUCAGUCCCUCCAUUGAAGCUGUGUGUAUGGUUUACUGUCCAUGUCCAGAAAGGUAAGAAAACAUCGUCAAAGUAGUCCAUGUGACAUCAGAGGGUCAGUUAGAAUAUUUUGAAGCAUCGAAAAUACAUUUUGGUACAAAAAUAGCAAGAACUACGACUUUAUUCAGCAUUGUCUUCUCUUCCGUGUCUAUUUUGAGAGAGUUUAAAACAAAGCAGUUUGUGAUAUCCGGUUCGUGAACGAAUCAUUUGAUGUAACCGGAUCUUCUUGAACCAGUUCACUAAACCGAACUGAAUCUUUUGAAACGGUUUGCAUCUCCAAUUAAUCCACAAAUGACUUCAGCUGUUAACUUUUUUAAUGUGGCUGACACUCCCUCCGAGCUGCUGUAAAGAGUGAGAACUGCAGAUGAACACUGAGCCGAGCCAGUUAACAAAUGAAAGAUUGACUCGUUCUCGAGUUGAAAAGAACCAGAACCGUGAGCAAUUUCUAAGUUUCGGUUCUGAAACGGUUCUUGUGCAACAUGUGACCAAGCGCUGUGAGCAGCCUUGCACCGACCGGUGUUCUGAAUAUUCAGCGUUUCCAGUAAAGGAUGUCACGAACCGAAUAACAGACAAACCUCCCUGCCUCUUUAAUUACUGAGCACAUUGAUUCCAAUAACACGCAUUCCACACGCAUUCGUUGUGCUGUCGCGUAUUUAAUUGCCGAACACAUUGUUUCCCACGACUGUAUGUGCACUUGCGCCUUUGAUAACUGUGCACAUCAUUUUGUCCGGGGCCGGCGACACACUGGAUGCGUGGUGCAAGCGUCUCAGCUGCGUGGCGUGUCUGUUUUGAAUUCGGCUCCCAUGUUAACAGGUUAGAGCUUGCAGACUGCCUGCUUGAGAAGCGUCUCAGCCAUGGCUCGAGCCGCGCGGAAAAUGCGUGCAUGCUAGAAAUAGAACCGACGCCUAUUUUUCACGCGACACGCAAGCGUGUUGGAAGCGUUUCCAACAGCAGCGCGCUGCACCUGCCGCCACUAAAUUACAUUAUGUUUGUCCCAUAUUGUCAUUAUUAUAGCUACAUACUGGCUUCAACUUGGACCACUAAAUAAAUAGACUGCUAUUGUUAUGCAAGUAUGAGGGUUAGAUUAUUUAGUGUACAGGUCAUUUCAAGAGUGAUAAACAAAGUGAUAGAAAAUAUUUAUUUUAAUGCAUUUUAAAUGUUUAAAAAUGUGGAAACCACUCAUUGCAUCACACCAUCUCCUGACUGCAUUAUUAUUUGUAAAAUAGGGACUUUAUGGAGAGUGUGUAUACAUGUUUAUAAGUUUAACUGUUUAUAUUUCAUUAAGGGAAAUUAACAAGUGUCUCAGCCCUCAAGGGACUAUUUAGCAGCUCAUUAUUCCUGCUUGAAAAGCAAAACGUUAUUGAAAGUUGAAAAAACAUCAAUUUGAAACACAUGCUGAUUAAUGGACUAGCAUUACUCAACAUUGCUUACUACCUACUUUUACUAAGGUAGAAUAGUAAAAAAUAACAUAAAAAUAGUUCAUUUAAAUGGAACCAGAAGCCGAACCGGAAAAUUUCUAAAAAUACCCCACCCCACUUAUGAAGAUCUGUACACUGUAAUAUAUGUUGCAUUUUGACAUGGCCAACCUUUAAAUUAAGUUGACAGUAAGUAAUAAACAGUAUUGAGCUUUGCUUAGUUGAGUAUUGUGCAUUUUUCCUUACCACUAUUUCUUAAUAAUUGUUUAAUGAUUUUAAUGGAACCGAAAUCAGAACCGGAACCAUUAGGUGGAACCGGAAUCGAACGUGGGAAAAUUAUUAACGAUUCCCAACCCUAUUUUUGAGUAAAUGAAUUACUCCGGGAUAUUGGUUUGUUUGAACUCAGAGGGAGUGUCAGCCACAUUAAAAAAGUUAACAGCUUAAGUCAUUUGUGGAUUAAUGCGUAUUAGAGGUGUGAACCGUUUAAAACGAUUCAGUUCGAUUUAGUGAACUGGUUCA